rnacentral:rRNA from 1 species
UCGAACGGCCAUAAGGGCGUGGUUCUACCUGAUCCCAUUCGAACUCAGAAGUCAAGAACGCCACUGUUCCAUGUUGUACUGUACUUUCGUACGGGAACCAUGGAAAGCUGUUCACC